AGUGAACGCUGGCGGCAGGCCUAAUACAUGCAAGUCGAACGGCAGCACAGCAGAGCUUGCUCUGUGGGUGGCGAGUGGCGGACGGGUGAGGAAUACGUGGGAAUCUGCCCAGUCGUGGGGGAUAACGUAGGGAAACUUACGCUAAUACCGCAUGCGCCCUUCGGGGAAAGCCGGGGACCUUCGGGCCUGGCGCGAUUGGAUGAGCCCACGUCGGAUUAGCUAGUUGGCGGGUAAAGGCCCACCAAGGCGACGAUCCGUAGCUGGUCUGAGAGGAUGAUCAGCCACACUGGAACUGAGACACGGUCCAGACUCCUACGGGAGGCAGCAGUAGGGAAUAUUGGACAAUGGGCGCAAGCCUGAUCCAGCCAUGCCGCGUGAGUGAAGAAGGCCCUCGGGUUGUAAAGCUCUUUUGUCCGGAAAGAAAAGCGCCGGGUUAAUACCCUGGUGUCCUGACGGUACCGGAAGAAUAAGCACCGGCUAACUUCGUGCCAGCAGCCGCGGUAAU
rnacentral:rRNA from 1 species